CUCCUGAAGGUAAAAAGUAUGUUUCCUUUUUUUUUCCUCCUGUCCCAGCUCUGAUUUCCUCCCCUAAGUAUCUCCACAGGGACAGAAUUUUCAUGGGGCGAAAAUGACAGAAGUUCUGGAAAAGAAAAACUUGAAACCAUGUUCCCUGCAGGACAAACUAAAGACUGACAUUUUUGCCUGCUUGGUGGCCACGGGAUUCCUGCUGAUCAUAGUUACAGUUUUCCAAAUUCUGAUUUUUUGUUACAUUAAAUGGGUUGGUUUUUAUCCUACAACUGCCAAGGGAAGCAUUCUGCUCGGGGAAAGACCUAUUCAGCCAUACAGAUUUGGCUUUGUGGACUGUAACAGCUGAUCCCACAAGGUCAGUUUCCACUCUGGAAACUUUCCAAAGAUUCCUGUGGGUUCUGUGCCUAUUUUUGAGAAUAAGCCAAGAGGAGUAACCAAAAUGCCCUCCCAUUCUGGGGAUUUUGCAGCCAGGACCAUGUGUUAGAGGCUGUCAAACCAGAGGUUGCCUGGAAUCACCAGUGUUACAUAGUAGGAGCACUUUGUGAGCCACCCCCACUGGGUGUGGGGCUCUAUACAAUAUUCUUGAAAAUUACAGAAUUGUGAAAUUUUACAUUCCCUGCCUAUGAGAACCUAUGGUGCAGUUACAAGAUUUUUUUUGUCAUUCCCCAUUAGAGCAGUCCAAAUACAUAAUUGAGAAUACAUAUACAUGAGUACUGAGAUUGAUUAUGAAUAAAUUAGUAACCACUAGAUUUGGCUGAUGGAAA